GUAAACUCCAUCUCGGCAAAUCCCUCAUCACCUUUGGCAAAUGCGACUGACCCUCUAUAAAGUUCUGUCAGAUUGCACUUCAGGCCAUCUUGUUUGCUUCUGCCUGCAGAUUCAGACAGCAGCGUUUAAGGAGCCAGCCAGGCUGAUGACUCAGCUCAUAAAACAAUGUGUGGCCACAAAGAUGAUGUUUAUCCAGGAGCAUUCUGGAGGCUCUUGCUACCGAAGCCGGCAAGCUGUGGGUAUGUGGUACACGAUGCUCAUUCUCCCAGGAGUUUCUGCAGCCGUGACAAAGCAGCACUCCCCAGCUGCAACUCUCCCAGCAGUGGAUCUCACACGAUGCUCUCCCUAAACAGAAAGGAAGACACUGGGUCUGAUAAGAGCCUCUUCCAAGACUGCUGCAGCUACGGUCUUACCUGUGGAGAAGACCGUAUGGAGACCAUUAUUCAAUAACACACACUUGUGUAGUAUGUAAGGUGAGUGCCUGGUACACAGUGGAUGGCCAGUUGCCUAUUAGUUACCCGGUAUCCUUUCUCUGCCUCACCCCACCAAUGUAAAUUCCUUGUAGUGAGAACCCUACCUGAAGUUUUUACUGCUCCCUGCCCUGUACCUACAAGUCUCAGGCAUAGUGUGGAGUGGGCAGCCAAGUGAAAGAAUCCAUCUAUCCUCAUGUGCUAUAUGUACCUUCCUACGUGGCUAGCAUUUCACCAAUCUUAGCACACUGGGAGAAUGUGGACCUGAACCACAGGCUCUAUGAGGACCCCCACAGUCAUCUAAUCCCCCUCCUUUGAAGUCCAGGGCUGCAAUAAAGGCCCCCAAAGCCCACGUGUUGCUGUCCUGAAGAGCAAGUCCUUGGAAGUGAAACCCCAUGAGUAUGGAAGAUCUGAUUUUCUGGAUGCAGAGUCCCAAAGGUAGAAAUGGGCUUGGUCUGAGCUCCCUCCUCCUUAGACCACUCUAAGUUCUCUCCUUCUAAAUGGAUUUGGAUACCAAGGCAACUAAUGGGGGCUAGGCUUGCACCAUGGACCAGGCACCUUCUUAACAGUAUUUCACAAAUGGCAUCUACCCAACCCCCUAGCUGACUCGAUGAGAAGGGCACCCUCAUCUGCACUCCUCAAUUGAGGAACUAGAAGUCAGGGAAGCUAAGGG
rnacentral:lncRNA from 1 species